GGGUUGUGAGGUUAAGCGACUAAGCGUACACGGUGGAUGCCCUGGCAGUCAGAGGCGAUGAAGGACGUGCUAAUCUGCGAUAAGCGUCGGUAAGGUGAUAUGAACCGUUAUAACCGGCGAUUUCCGAAUGGGGAAACCCAGUGUGAUUCGUCACACUAUCAUUAACUGAAUCCAUAGGUUAAUGAGGCGAACCGGGGGAACUGAAACAUCUAAGUACCCCGAGGAAAAGAAAUCAACCGAGAUUCCCCCAGUAGCGGCGAGCGAACGGGGAGCAGCCCAGAGCCUGAAUCAGUGUGUGUGUUAGUGGAAGCGUCUGGAAAGGCGUGCGAUACAGGGUGACAGCCCCGUACACAAAAAUGCACAUACUGUGAGCUCGAUGAGUAGGGCGGGACACGUGGUAUCCUGUCUGAAUAUGGGGGGACCAUCCUCCAAGGCUAAAUACUCCUGACUGACCGAUAGUGAACCAGUACCGUGAGGGAAAGGCGAAAAGAACCCCGGCGAGGGGAGUGAAAAAGAACCUGAAACCGUGUACGUACAAGCAGUGGGAGCACAGAGCAAUCUGUGUGACUGCGUACCUUUUGUAUAAUGGGUCAGCGACUUAUAUUCUGUAGCAAGGUUAACCGAAUAGGGGAGCCGAAGGGAAACCGAGUCUUAACUGGGCGUUAAGUUGCAGGGUAUAGACCCGAAACCCGGUGAUCUAGCCAUGGGCAGGUUGAAGGUUGGGUAACACUAACUGGAGGACCGAACCGACUAAUGUUGAAAAAUUAGCGGAUGACUUGUGGCUGGGGGUGAAAGGCCAAUCAAACCGGGAGAUAGCUGGUUCUCCCCGAAAGCUAUUUAGGUAGCGCCUCGUGAAUUCAUCUCCGGGGGUAGAGCACUGUUUCGGCAAGGGGGUCAUCCCGACUUACCAACCCGAUGCAAACUGCGAAUACCGGAGAAUGUUAUCACGGGAGACACACGGCGGGUGCUAACGUCCGUCGUGAAGAGGGAAACAACCCAGACCGCCAGCUAAGGUCCCAAAGUCAUGGUUAAGUGGGAAACGAUGUGGGAAGGCCCAGACAGCCAGGAUGUUGGCUUAGAAGCAGCCAUCAUUUAAAGAAAGCGUAAUAGCUCACUGGUCGAGUCGGCCUGCGCGGAAGAUGUAACGGGGCUAAACCAUGCACCGAAGCUGCGGCAGCGACGCUUAUGCGUUGUUGGGUAGGGGAGCGUUCUGUAAGCCUGCGAAGGUGUGCUGUGAGGCAUGCUGGAGGUAUCAGAAGUGCGAAUGCUGACAUAAGUAACGAUAAAGCGGGUGAAAAGCCCGCUCGCCGGAAGACCAAGGGUUCCUGUCCAACGUUAAUCGGGGCAGGGUGAGUCGACCCCUAAGGCGAGGCCGAAAGGCGUAGUCGAUGGGAAACAGGUUAAUAUUCCUGUACUUGGUGUUACUGCGAAGGGGGGACGGAGAAGGCUAUGUUGGCCGGGCGACGGUUGUCCCGGUUUAAGCGUGUAGGCUGGUUUUCCAGGCAAAUCCGGAAAAUCAAGGCUGAGGCGUGAUGACGAGGCACUACGGUGCUGAAGCAACAAAUGCCCUGCUUCCAGGAAAAGCCUCUAAGCAUCAGGUAACAUCAAAUCGUACCCCAAACCGACACAGGUGGUCAGGUAGAGAAUACCAAGGCGCUUGAGAGAACUCGGGUGAAGGAACUAGGCAAAAUGGUGCCGUAACUUCGGGAGAAGGCACGCUGAUAUGUAGGUGAAGUCCCUCGCGGAUGGAGCUGAAAUCAGUCGAAGAUACCAGCUGGCUGCAACUGUUUAUUAAAAACACAGCACUGUGCAAACACGAAAGUGGACGUAUACGGUGUGACGCCUGCCCGGUGCCGGAAGGUUAAUUGAUGGGGUCAGCGCAAGCGAAGCUCUUGAUCGAAGCCCCGGUAAACGGCGGCCGUAACUAUAACGGUCCUAAGGUAGCGAAAUUCCUUGUCGGGUAAGUUCCGACCUGCACGAAUGGCGUAAUGAUGGCCAGGCUGUCUCCACCCGAGACUCAGUGAAAUUGAACUCGCUGUGAAGAUGCAGUGUACCCGCGGCAAGACGGAAAGACCCCGUGAACCUUUACUAUAGCUUGACACUGAACAUUGAGCCUUGAUGUGUAGGAUAGGUGGGAGGCUUGGAAGUGUGGACGCCAGUCUGCAUGGAGCCGACCUUGAAAUACCACCCUUUAAUGUUUGAUGUUCUAACGUUGACCCGUAAUCCGGGUUGCGGACAGUGUCUGGUGGGUAGUUUGACUGGGGCGGUCUCCUCCUAAAGAGUAACGGAGGAGCACGAAGGUUGGCUAAUCCUGGUCGGACAUCAGGAGGUUAGUGCAAUGGCAUAAGCCAGCUUGACUGCGAGCGUGACGGCGCGAGCAGGUGCGAAAGCAGGUCAUAGUGAUCCGGUGGUUCUGAAUGGAAGGGCCAUCGCUCAACGGAUAAAAGGUACUCCGGGGAUAACAGGCUGAUACCGCCCAAGAGUUCAUAUCGACGGCGGUGUUUGGCACCUCGAUGUCGGCUCAUCACAUCCUGGGGCUGAAGUAGGUCCCAAGGGUAUGGCUGUUCGCCAUUUAAAGUGGUACGCGAGCUGGGUUUAGAACGUCGUGAGACAGUUCGGUCCCUAUCUGCCGUGGGCGCUGGAGAACUGAGGGGGGCUGCUCCUAGUACGAGAGGACCGGAGUGGACGCAUCACUGGUGUUCGGGUUGUCAUGCCAAUGGCACUGCCCGGUAGCUAAAUGCGGAAGAGAUAAGUGCUGAAAGCAUCUAAGCACGAAACUUGCCCCGAGAUGAGUUCUCCCUGACUCCUUGAGAGUCCUGAAGGAACGUUGAAGACGACGACGUUGAUAGGCCGGGUGUGUAAGCGCAGCGAUGCGUUGAGCUAACCGGUACUAAUGAACCGUGAGGCUUAACCUUACAACGCCGAAGGUGUUU
rnacentral:rRNA from 1 species